AACGCGAAGAACCUUACCUGGGCUCGAACGGCUGGUCAACGGCGGUGGAAACACCGCUACCCCGCAAGGGGGUCCAGUCGAGGUGCUGCAUGGCUGUCGUCAGCUCGUGUCGUGAGAUGUUGGGUUAAGUCCCGCAACGAGCGCAACCCUUGUCCUGUGUUGCCAUCAUUCAGUUGGGAACUCGCAGGAGACCGCCAGCGAUAAGCUGGAGGAAGGUGGGGAUGACGUCAAGUCCUCAUGGCCUUUAUGUCCAGGGCUACACACGUGCUACAAUGGCCGGUACAAUGCGUCGCUAACCCGCGAGGGGGAGCCAAUCGCAAAAAACCGGUCUCAGUUCGGAUUGCAGGCUGCAACCCGCCUGCAUGAAGCUGGAAUCGCUAGUAAUGGCAGAUCAGCACGCUGCCGUGAAUACGUUCCCGGGCCUUGUA
rnacentral:rRNA from 1 species